rfam:Gossypium arboreum cultivar AKA8401 contig_73769_1, whole genome shotgun sequence.
GGUUUCAUGGUGUAGUUGGUUAUCACGUUAGUCUAACACACUGAAGGUCUCCGGUUUGAGGACGGGCGAAGCCA